rnacentral:rRNA from 1 species
GAGUGUGUAACAACUCACCUGCCGAAUGAAUUAGCCCUGAAAAUGGAUGGCGCUUAAGCGGGGAGCCGACACUACGCCGUCUGAACGACGAUUGUUUUCAGAUGAGUAGGAGGACGUGGCGGUUGUAUCGAAGCGUUGGCGCAAGCCUGCGUGGAACGGCCGCUAGUGCAGAUCUUGGUGUUAGUAGCAAAUAUUCAAACGAGAACCUUGAAGGGCGAAGCGGGGAAGGGUUCCACGCGUACAUUGAUUGGGCGUGGGUGAGUCGUUCCUAAGCCGCGUGGCAAUAGCUAAUUACCGGCGAAAGGGAAGCAGGUUGAAAUUCCUGCACACGGAUGUGGACGCGGUGACGCACUUCUGGGGCAAUGACGCUGGCUUUGGCACUGGGCAGAGUUGUCUUUUCUGUUUAACCGUUUGAGUGCACUGUGUGGAAUCCGCUUGUCGGGAGAAACACGUGCAGUCGGGCAUAGCGCCGGGGUUUUUCCGGCGUCCAGUUCGCCAACGACGGACCUUGAAAAAUUGUCUGCUGGCAGCGCAUUCUUGCAAUGUGUUGUAUGAAGAACUCCACGCCGUAACGUACCGAUAACCGCAUCAGGUCCCCAAGGUGAACAGCCUCUGCUCGAUAUGAUCAAUGCAGGUAAGGGAAGUCGGCAAAAUGGACCCGUAACUUUGGGAAAAGGGUUGGCUCUAGUGCUGCGUGGGAAUUGUUGUCUCAGCUGUGGGGUCGCUGCUCGGACGGCGCCUUGGGCUGGUGGGGCUCCGGCUCUGCUGGACUGGGGAGCAGUCUGCGCUCGGCUCUGCCUGUGACGGCGCCCACGGCAUGCAGCAAACUAGAACUGCAACGGGCAAAGGGAAUCCGACUGUUUAAUUAAAACAAAGCAUUGCGAAGGCCGUGGCCGGUGUUGACGCANNNNNNNNNNNNNNNNNNNNNNNNAAUGUCAAAGUGAAGAGAUUCAAUCAAGCGCGGGUAAACAGCGGGAGUAACUAUGACUCUCUUAAGGUAGCCAAAUGCCUCGUCAUCUAAUUAGUGACGCGCAUGAAUGGAUUAACGAGAUUCCUACUGUCCCUAUCUGCUUCUAGCGAAAACACAGCCGUGGGAACGGGCACGGCAGAAAUGGCGGGGAAAGAAGACCCUGUUGAGCUUGACUCUAUUCUAAGACUGUGAAACGAGUUAGGAGGUGUAGCAUAGGUGGGAGAGCUUGCUGCUCGUCCGUGAAAUACCACUACUCUUAAUCUCGUUUUACUUACCAGGUUGGUGUGGGGCGAGUCGUGAGACUCUGUUCUGGAGCCAAUGCUGCUUGUGAAAGUGGCAGACCACCGUCUGGAACACUUUUAGGAGGGGAGUUUGGCUGGGGCGGCACAUCUUCUACAAGACAACGAAGGUGUCCAAAGAUAAGCUCAGUGAGAACAGAAAUCUCACGUAGCGCAAAAGGGUAAAAGCUUGUUUGAUUUUGAUUUCCAGUGCGAGUCGAAAACGCGAAAGCGUGGCCUAUCGAUCCUUUUGAGUUUCGAGAUUUGAAGCAAGAGGUGUCAGNAAAGUUACCACAGGGAUAACAUGGCUUGUGCGNCCAAGCGUUCAUAGCGACGUCGCUU